UACGGAGGGGGCUAGCGUUGUUCGGAAUUACUGGGCGUAAAGCGCGCGUAGGCGGGCCUGCAAGUCGGGGGUGAAAGCCCGAGGCUCAACCUCGGAACUGCCUUCGAUACUGCGGGUCUCGAGUCCGGGAGAGGUGAGUGGAAUUCCUAGUGUAGAGGUGAAAUUCGUAGAUAUUCGGAAGAACACCAGUGGCGAAGGCGACUUACUGGACGAUUGUUGACGCUGAGGUGCGAAAGCGUGGGGAGCAAACAGG
rnacentral:rRNA from 1 species